GACGAACGCUGGCGGCGUGCUUAACACAUGCAAGUCGAACGGAAAGGCCCUGCUUUUGUGGGGUGCUCGAGUGGCGAACGGGUGAGUAACACGUGAGUAACCUGCCCUUGACUUUGGGAUAACUUCAGGAAACUGGGGCUAAUACCGGAUAGGAGCUCCUGCUGCAUGGUGGGGGUUGGAAAGUUUCGGCGGUUGGGGAUGGACUCGCGGCUUAUCAGCUUGUUGGUGGGGUAGUGGCUUACCAAGGCUUUGACGGGUAGCCGGCCUGAGAGGGUGACCGGCCACAUUAGGACUGAGAUACGGACCAGACUCCUACGGGAGGCAGCAGUGGGGAAUAUUACACAAUGGGAGGAAGCCUGAUGCAGCAACGCCGCGUGCGGGAUGACGGCCUUCGGGUUGUAAACCGCUUUCGCCUGUGACGAAGCGUGAGUGACGGUAAUGGGUAAAGAAGCACCGGCUAACUACGUG
rnacentral:rRNA from 1 species